GUUCCCUAUGAUGCUUCAUUAUGAACCAUGCUAAUGCUGAUCAAUCCAUGAUUGAUACUUUCUUCAUUCAUAUGCUGAGGGAAUG